CAUGUUCUCAGGUUGUCAAGGCUGCCGCUUUUUGUUGCUGCUGCCUGACUGACUGCCACUUGCCUCCUCAAGUACACGCGUGUAUGCUACAGCUAGCUGUAGCUGUAUCGGUGUGUGUGUGUGUGACGGCCAUUACUUUGUUGCCUAGGUGUUGCCGUCGCCAUUGACAAUGAUUUCACCCAACUUAAAGCUGACUCAAGUGAAUCUGUGAGCUCUGGAAUUCAAGAACUUCUUUCUCUGACACGACACGACACGCCCAGACGCUGGAGUACCAGUGGAAUUCCUUGAAACAUUUCGUAUUCAUUGUUUCUCUUCUAUUCGCAGCGUGAGAGAGACAUUUGUCAAAAUCUAUGGGAAUUACAGUUACAGUCGUUCCUUCGCACAGCUACUAUUUCCGCCGGAAGGGGCAAAAGAUGCUGCUUGUGCUGGUACACCCAAACCCUUGCCAAAGGAGACGCUUUGUUUCAAGUGAAUCAAGAAAGAAUCCACAAAGAAUGUUGACUCUUCUGUUGCUAUAAUCUAUAACUCUUACUGCAGCCAAUGAUAAUUCUGUGAGUUAAAUCUUCAACGCUCUACAUACUAUUCGAUUAUUUUCUUGUUGAAUACUGCUCACUUUUUUGUUGUUGCAUAUUUUUACGACUUUUUGUCAAGGGUAUCUACGGCUUCGCAUUAUCUUUAGCCCAGCAAGCAGGAGCCGCACCUUCUUUUCUCCUGCAUUUCACCUGCUUUUGCGUUUAGCGUAAGACUCUCCUCCUCCUGCCAGUCCACUGUUAUCCUGUGUGUUUCGCUGCUGCUGCUGCUGCUGCUGCUGCUCCUGGCGCCUAACAAUAUGCAAUAAUAACAAUUUACAUAUUCAUGAGACGCCCCGACCGACCGACAAACAACAACAACAACAGCAGCAGCUCCAAGGGUAUGGGGGUAAGGGGGUGGCAGGAUGAGUGAGAGCUGGUCCAAGAGGUGGAGUUGGAGGUGGAGAGAGGAAGGAUGAGGAUGAAUGUGACGGCAGUUUGCAUAAAGAGCAGCAGCAUCACCGCUUAAACAGAAGAAUCAACAACGGAACAGAAGCGUAUCCCCCACGCGGUCCACGUGGUCCAUGGGUGGAGCAGGGUUACUGUUUGCAAAACCCACUACCAUUAUGGAAAACCCUUAGAAGUCAUGGUGGAAGACCCUUAAAACCCCCUUCCAAAAACCCUUUUAAACAUCAGUUGGAAGGUAUCUUGGAACGCCUUUGGAACGAACAUUGAAACGCAAACUGGCACUUUGGAACAUAUGGAAACACCUUUGGAAAGACCUAUGGAAAACCCUUUGGAAAACCCUUUGGAAGAC
rnacentral:lncRNA from 1 species